AGAGUAACCUCCGGACACCAAGUAUUAAACCAGAAAAGACGUAACUGUUCUUUGAGAUUCUUGGCCAAUCCUUACUUCUGAUCAGACCAAGGGUCUUUUACUAUUACAACUAAUCAUUUCUAGGAGAUUAGCCUCAAUAAUUUUGACCCUCUGAACAGGACCCUGCGGGAAGCCUCUUGGUGUCCGUAUCCCCAUUGCCGAUCCCGAUCCUUACCAAUCAGCGGAUGGACGAACUUAAGCCAAUCGACUAAUCCCUCUCUUUGGCCGAUGCCCCCCAUUUAAUAGUGGAAACUUCUAUUGGUCCCCCAACUUCGACGUCCAAAGAGAGAUCGGGCACUGGACAGCAGACAACCACCCCACGAUCAGGCCCAAUAGUUAAUAAUGACUUUUGUCUAAAUAUGUCAAGUUAGGAUAUAUCAUCGCCAUUCCAGUUGCCACCUAUGUGCCUACUAAGCCCAU
rnacentral:lncRNA from 1 species